rnacentral:rRNA from 1 species
AUGAACGCUAGCUACAGGCUUAACACAUGCAAGUCGAGGGGCAGCAUGGUCUUAGCUUGCUAAGGCCGAUGGCGACCGGCGCACGGGUGAGUAACACGUAUCCAACCUGCCGUCUACUCUUGGACAGCCUUCUGAAAGGAAGAUUAAUACAAGAUGGCAUCAUGAGUCCGCAUGUUCACAUGAUUAAAGGUAUUCCGGUAGACGAUGGGGAUGCGUUCCAUUAGAUAGUAGGCGGGGUAACGGCCCACCUAGUCUUCGAUGGAUAGGGGUUCUGAGAGGAAGGUCCCCCACAUUGGAACUGAGACACGGUCCAAACUCCUACGGGAGGCAGCAGUGAGGAAUAUUGGUCAAUGGGCGAGAGCCUGAACCAGCCAAGUAGCGUGAAGGAUGACUGCCCUAUGGGUUGUAAACUUCUUUUAUAAAGGAAUAAAGUCGGGUAUGGAUACCCGUUUGCAUGUACUUUAUGAAUAAGGAUCGGCUAACUCCGUGCCAGCAGCCGCGGUAAUACGGAGGAUCCGAGCGUUAUCCGGAUUUAUUGGGUUUAAAGGGAGCGUAGAUGGAUGUUUAAGUCAGUUGUGAAAGUUUGCGGCUCAACCGUAAAAUUGCAGUUGAUACUGGAUAUCUUGAGUGCAGUUGAGGCAGGCGGAAUUCGUGGUGUAGCGGUGAAAUGCUUAGAUAUCACGAAGAACUCCGAUUGCGAAGGCAGCCUGCUAAGCUGCAACUGACAUUGAGGCUCGAAAGUGUGGGUAUCAAACAGGAUUAGAUACCCUGGUAGUCCACACGGUAAACGAUGAAUACUCGCUGUUUGCGAUAUACUGCAAGCGGCCAAGCGAAAGCGUUAAGUAUUCCACCUGGGGAGUACGCCGGCAACGGUGAAACUCAAAGGAAUUGACGGGGGCCCGCACAAGCGGAGGAACAUGUGGUUUAAUUCGAUGAUACGCGAGGAACCUUACCCGGGCUUAAAUUGCAGAUGAAUUACGGUGAAAGCCGUAAGCCGCAAGGCAUCUGUGAAGGUGCUGCAUGGUUGUCGUCAGCUCGUGCCGUGAGGUGUCGGCUUAAGUGCCAUAACGAGCGCAACCCUUGUUGUCAGUUACUAACAGGUUCCGCUGAGGACUCUGACAAGACUGCCAUCGUAAGAUGUGAGGAAGGUGGGGAUGACGUCAAAUCAGCACGGCCCUUACGUCCGGGGCUACACACGUGUUACAAUGGGGGGUACAGAGGGCCGCUACCACGCGAGUGGAUGCCAAUCCCCAAAACCUCUCUCAGUUCGGACUGGAGUCUGCAACCCGACUCCACGAAGCUGGAUUCGCUAGUAAUCGCGCAUCAGCCACGGCGCGGUGAAUACGUUCCCGGGCCUUGUACACACCGCCCGUCAAGCCAUGAAAGCCGGGGGUACCUGAAGUACGUAACCGCGAGGAUCGUCCUAGGGUAAAACCGGUAAUUGGGGCU